rnacentral:rRNA from 1 species
GUAAAUACCCCUGUAUUGUACCCUACAAUAAGCGCCUGAGGACAGGCUUUUUUCUUAAGGAUGGGGAAGUAACAUAUCCAUUAUUACACCCACAACUCCCCAUAAGAUAACUAUAAGCAACAUACACUAGUAUAAGCUCAUAUACACACAUUAAUGUAUAAACACAAAAUAUCUAAGUCUAAGCACAAAAUGUAAUCAAAGAACGAGAGCCCUUCGAUUAACCUUGGACACAGCGUCAUGUUCCAAAACCACCCUUUCUCACAGAUCGCAAAUCAUAAACAUAGACACUUGUCGCCUUAUCAUAAACAUAGACACUUGCCGCCUUUAUAAACACAGACUCUCGUCCCCUAAUCAUUUGCAUUCGACCACUUGGCGAGCCAACUGAAAUAAUAAACUUUCGCGAUCGGCGCCUACGCCUACGCACUUGUCCCAGGAUUCUCCAAUUACCCCUAUUCUUCAGAAGACUCUCUUCCAACAAGAAAAUAGAGGUUUACAACCCAACUCUCUUAAACUUCGCUCUUUGGCUUCCCCAAAUUGCCUAUAAAACAGCAAGCAUGCCUCCAUGCAGCAGUUCAGUACUGAGUACGUUAUCAACCGCGAUAACACCGCUUAAGCCAAUUUAACUUUCCAAUCUCGUGAUAAUCAAAUGGCUCUAGUUCUUUCCAUAAAUGGAAUUAAUAAAAAGGUUUAAUAAAAUAUAAAACUCAAUCGUGUGUUUUUUUUAUCAAACCCUCGGUCUGAAUUCGUAAAUAUAUAUAUGUGGUUUUAAAAUGUACAAAUAAAACUUCGAAUAUUGGAGAUCAAAGAUAUCAAAUUCGAAAAUGGAAAUCGAAUUCAAACUUUAAAAUAAUGGUUAUCAAAAUAAUUUGUUAAUAUAAAAUUGUGAACUUUGUGUGUAUAUGGACCAUAAUAUACACGCGUUGCGAAUAUGUAUUGUUCAUCUUAGUUAUGAGCAUACGUUGUCUAAUGCAACAACCUAAAAUAUACAAUGUUGUACCUGGUACCCAUCAGGUUAAUGUUUUAUAUAAAUUGCGGUAUGUAUCGCCCAAACAUAGUUGAAUAUAAACCGUAAAUAACCAGAUUAUAUAAUACAUAAUGCUUAUAUGAAACUAAGACAUUUCGCAGCAUUUAUUUUAGGUAUAAAAAUACAUUUAUUGAAGGAAUUGAUAUAUGCCAGUAAAAUAUGUAUUUUUUAAUUACUUUCAAUAAAAACAAAAUUGACAUUAUAUAAAAAUUAAUUAGAAAACUGUAAGCGGUGGAUCACUCGGCUCAUGGGUCGAUGAAGAACGCAGCAAACUGUGCGUCAUCGUGUGAACUGCAGGACACAUGAACAUCGACAUUUUGAACGCAUAUCGCAGUCCAUGCUGUUACGUACUUUAAUUAAUUUUAUAGUGCUGCUUGGACUACAUAUGGUUGAGGGUAGUACGACUAUGCUAAUUAAGUUGUUUAUAAAUUUAUAAUAAUUUUUUUAAUCAUAUUAUAAAAAUAUAUAUAUGAAAAACAUUAUCUCACAUUUGGAUGUGAAAAACGAAGAGAAAUAUUUUCUUUUUCGAUCAAGUAAUACUGAAAAAUAUCUAGCAUAAAAAAUUGAAUUAUUUUUCAUCUAGAAUUGUCUCUUAUUAAUUAUUCGGAAAUAUAAAAAACUUGGUUAUGUUAUUAUUCUUCGUUGGUUCGUUUAAUGGAAAACACUUUGCUACAAGAAAUAAUUUAAUAAAAUGUUUUUAUCAUUAUAUAUUAAGCAUUAAUUACAAGAAAAAGUUAUAUACAACCUCAACUCUUAUGGGACUACCCCUGAGUUUAAGCAUAUUAAUUAGGGGAGGAAAAGAAACUAACAAGGAUUUUCUUAGUAGCGGAGACAUAAGAGGUGUAGAAUAAGUGGGAGAUAUUAGACCUCGGUUUGGUAUCGUCAAUGAAAUACCACUACUCUUAUUGUUUCCUUACUUACUUGAUUAAAUGGAACGUGUAUCAUUUCCUAGCCAUUAUACGGAUAUAUUUAUUAUAUCUUAUGGUAUUGGGUUUUGAUGCAAGCUUCUUGAUCAAAGUAUCACGAGUUUGUUAUAUAAUCGCAAACAAAUUCUUUAAUAAAAAGAUGCAUUUAUGUAUUUUUGAUUUGAAAAUUUGGUAUAACUCCAAUUACUCAGCUAUGAUCCAAUUCAAGGACAUUGCCAGGUAGGGAGUUUGACUGGGGCGGUACAUCUCUCAAAUAAUAACGGAGGUGUCCCAAGGGCAGCUCAGUGCGGACAGAAACCACAAAUAGAGCAAAAGGGCAAAUGCUGACUUGAUCUCGGUGUUCAGUACACACCGGGACUGCAAUAGCUCGGCCUAUCGAUCCUUUUGGUUAAAAAAGUUUUUAACAAGAGGUGUCAGAAAAGUUACCACAGGGAUAACUGGCUUGUGGCGGCCAAGCGUUUAUAGUGAUCAUUGUGAAGCAAAAUUCACCAAACGUUGGAUUUUUCACCCAUGAAAGGGAACGUGAGCUGGGUUUAGACCGUCGUGAGACAGGUUAGUAUUACCCUACUAAUGAUAAAACGUUGUUGCGACAAGGGGAAAUUUGCAUUGUAUGGCUUCUAAACCAUUUAAAGUUUAUAAUUUACUUUAUAAACGACAAUGAAUGUGAUGCCAAUGUAAUUUGUAACAUAGUAAAUUGGGAGGAUCUUCGAUCACCUGAUGC